rnacentral:rRNA from 1 species
CCCUUAGAUGUCCUGGGCCGCACGCGCGCUACACUGAGUGUCUGAGAUACGAGUCUGCCUGGUCCGGAAAGGUCUAGGUAAUCGCUAAAAGACACAUCAUGCUUGGGAUAGAUUAUUGCAAAUAUUAAUCUUGAACGAGGAAUUCCUAGUAAGCGCAAGUCAACAGCUUGCGUUGAUUACGUCCCUGCCCUUUGUACACACCGCCCGUCGCUACUACUGAUUGGAUGUUUAAGCGAGGUUCUCGAACUGCUAGCGACUUAGCUUCGGUGAGGUCGCAGUGUGGGAAGUGAACCUAGCUUUGGUGUCUAGAGGAAGUAAAAGUCGUAACA